rnacentral:rRNA from 1 species
UCAGAGGGGGGUGGAAUUCCACGUGUAGCAGUGAAAUGCGUAGAUAUGUGGAGGAACACCGAUGGCGAAGGCAGCCCCCUGGGAUAAUACUGACGCUCAUGCACGAAAGCGUGGGGAGCAAACAGGAUUAGAUACCCUGGUAGUCCACGCCCUAAACGAUGUCAACUAGCUGUCGUGGUCUUCGGACUUUGGUAGCGCAGCUAACGCGUGAAGUUGACCGCCUGGGGAGUACGGUCGCAAGAUUAAAACUCAAAGGAAUUGACGGGGACCCGCACAAGCGGUGGAUGAUGUGGAUUAAUUCGAUGCAACGCGAAAAACCUUACCUACCCUUGACAUGUCUGGAAUCCCGAAGAGAUUUAGGAGUGCUCGAAAGAGAACCGGAACACAGGUGCUGCAUGGCCGUCGUCAGCUCGUGUCGUGAGAUGUUGGGUUAAGUCCCGCAACGAGCGCAACCCUUGUCAUUAGUUGCUACGAAAGGGCACUCUAAUGAGACUGCCGGUGACAAACCGGAGGAAGGUGGGGAUGACGUCAGGUCCUCAUGGCCCUUAUGGGUAGGGCUUCACACGUCAUACAAUGGUCGGGACAGAGGGCAGCCAACCCGCGAGGGGGAGCCAAUCCCAGAAACCCGAUCGUAGUCCGGAUUGCAGUCUGCAAC